rnacentral:rRNA from 1 species
UCUACGGUGUGCAGCAGUGGGGAAUAUUGGACAAUGGGCGAAAGCCUGAUCCAGCCAUGCCGCGUGUGUGAAGAAGGCCUUCGGGUUGUAAAGCACUUUCAGUGGGGAAGAAAGCCUUGGGGCUAAUACCCUCGAGGAAGGACAUCACCCACAGAAGAAGCACCGGCUAACUCCGUGCCAGCAGCCGCGGUAAUACGGAGGGUGCGAGCGUUAAUCGGAAUUACUGGGCGUAAAGCGCGCGUAGGCGGUCUGAUAAGCCGGUUGUGAAAGCCCCGGGCUCAACCUGGGAACGGCAUCCGGAACUGUCAGGCUAGAGUGCAGGAGAGGAAGGUAGAAUUCCCGGUGUAGCGGUGAAAUGCGUAGAGAUCGGGAGGAAUACCAGUGGCGAAGGCGGCCUUCUGGACUGACACUGACGCUGAGGUGCGAAAGCGUGGGUAGCAAACAGGAUUAGAUACCCUGGUAGUC